rnacentral:rRNA from 1 species
UACGAAGGGGGCAAGCGUUGUUCGGAAUUACUGGGCGUAAAGGGCGCGUAGGCGGCUUAUCAAGUCAGGCGUGAAAUUCCCGGGCUCAACCUGGGGGCUGCGCUUGAUACUGAUUGGCUUGAAUGCGGGAGAGGAUAGUGGAAUUCCCAGUGUAGAGGUGAAAUUCGUAGAUAUUGGGUGGAACACCGGUGGCGAAAGCGGCUCUCUGGUCCGGACCUGACGCUGAGGCGCGAAAGCGUGGGGAGCAAACAGG